UAUUGCACAAUGGGCGCAAGCCUGAUGCAGCCAUGCCGCGUGUGUGAAGAAGGCCUUCGGGUUGUAAAGCACUUUCAGCCACCCGGAAAGGUUAGUAGUUAAUACCUGCUAGCUGUGACGUUACUGACAGAAGAAGCACCGGCUAACUCCGUGCCAGCAGCCGCGGUAAUACGGAGGGUGCGAGCGUUAAUCGGAAUUACUGGGCGUAAAGCGUACGCAGGCGGUUUGUUAAGCGAGAUGUGAAAGCCCCGGGCUCAACCUGGGAACUGCAUUUCGAACUGGCAAACUAGAGUGUGAUAGAGGGUGGUAGAAUUUCAGGUGUAGCGGUGAAAUGCGUAGAGAUUUGAAGGAAUACCGAUGGCGAAGGCAGCCACCUGGGUCAACACUGACGCUCAUGUACUAAA
rnacentral:rRNA from 1 species